rfam:Setaria italica strain Yugu1 chromosome VI, whole genome shotgun sequence.
CCGCUUGAAGAUGAAGAGCUUGUUGAGUAUAUUCUCACCGGGCUAGAUGAAGAAUUCAAUCCCCUUGUGUCUGCCCUGAUUGCUAGAGUGGAACCAAUCUCGAUCAAGGAGUUGUACUCACAACUCCUGAAUUUUCAGA